AUAUUGAUCGAUCGGCGUUCAUUUCUAUAAAGAAUGUAAAGACACCCUGCAUUUUAAUGUAUUGAAUUUUAUGUGCAGUUUUAAACUGAUUAUAAAUCUGAUAAAUGAUACUGUCGCGUAGUUAUUCUAACUCUGUUUAUUUAUUUCCUCUACUCGUAGUACUUGUACGGGGCGAGAGUGUCUUUUAGUUGUGUUUUGAAUUGUUUUGCUACUUCACAAAGUCCGGUGACAUCUAUUGGUCACUCUUUGUCAUGAGGCAGUUCACCCUCUGACUUUGGUUUGAACGGACGGUGUGUUGGUCCGUAAAAGGUUAUUAUAUCUAUAGUCUGUACUAGUUUUCUUGGAUUUGUUAUUCAGUUGGAAUUUUGGACCUCUGUUUAGGGGUGACAGUGUUGGAGUUGUAUAUACUGAGCUCGAGUCUAUGCUAGUGUGGGCGUCGCUUGCCGUCUCAGAAAUAUAUAUUACAGUUUUCAGUGUCAUUGUCAAAUUGGCGAUCAUCUGAGGUCUAACUUUACUAUUACCGAGGUUGGCAGCUUUGUGACUCCAGUCGGUCAGAAUCUGGUGGACUAUGAAACCAGGGUGACAAGUUGAUAGCAGUAGCAAAGCUAUAUUUCAAAAAUAAGAUUACACGCUUCUUAAAGGUUCAACUGACAUCGACAGUCAACUUUAACAUUUCUAAAGGAAACGUCUAUGCUUAAAAUCUUUAAAUUGUUUCAUGCUAUUGAUAUACAUAUUGCAAGGACAUUGUUGAAAAUCAAAUUCUACACAUAAUACAUGGAGGUUUCAUGCUGCGAAGACGAUUCAGGAAAAGUUUGUUUGUGUCAUAUGAACAAGAUUUUCUGGAAUUUUUUUGCAAAAAAGGUUCAAUGUUUAAGUAUAGUUUUUGAGAAGAAAAAAAAAAGAAGAGAGAGUGAGAGAGGGAAUAGAAAGAGUAAAGGGAGACAGAGCGGGGAGGAGAGGGAGAAAGAGAAUGGGAAGAGAGAAUUGAAGAGCAGAGAGACAGAGAGUGUGAGGUAGAGAGAGAGAGAGAGAGAGAUAUUAGAAGAGACACAGAGAUAAAAAGAAAUAAGAAACUGGAGAAAAUAAAUGUACAUUUUGAUAAUUAUAAAGUACCUAAACUGUAAAUAUAUUUUAAACUGAAUUGCCUGUUGUUUAACUUGCUGAUUUUUAACACUAUUUUGUAUUAUAGAGGAUAUAGUAUCACAUCUAGCUGUUACUUACAAUAAUACUUUUUGUGGAUGUACAUAGUUUAUCUGCUUCCUGGUCAUCAAUAUACUAAAACUUUAGGAAGCCAGUGCAGAGAUUAACGCUUUCAAAAAAAAAUUAAAUAAUCUAAGCUUUUACAAAUCUAAUCUUCAUUAAACCUUAUGGUAGAUUAGGGUACAAAUAUCACACCCAUUUAAGUUGAGAGGAAACAGAAAACCCGGGAAAGUUUGGUGCCAACAUAAAACCUAUGAAAGUUGGGUGCUAACAUCACGUAAUUCAAAAUCCAAGACUUCACUUGGAUUCGAACCAGAGACUCCUCGGUUCGGAAGCCAAGCGCUUUACCAGUAAUCCACCUAUUAUGCUGAUAAAAUAAGAAAAAAUUGUCUGUAAAUAAAUGAAUCUCAAAAAGUACUUAAAAAAUGUAAUUCUCGAUAAAAUGUAAAAAAAUUUUCUAACCUGUUUCGUUCAGAAGAUUGAUCACUCUACUUUUCAUGUCCUCGGGCAACAAAUGUAUCCCACCUUUACCUGGGCAUAGACAGACAAGUGAAAUUGAAGUAAAAAUACUACAUGGUUUAUUCUUAUUACUUGGUAUAGUGAGAAAAAUAAUAAUGAAGUGGCAGAUGUUGAGUUGUGAUAUCACUAGACAACACUAAAAUUUCGGAACUGGUAAGAAACAGAUAUUUAAAUAAA